GAUGAAGAACGUAGCGAAAUGCGAUAAGUAAUGUGAAUUGCAGAAUUCAGUGAAUCAUCGAAUCUUUGAACGCACAUUGCGCCCCUUGGUAUUCCGAGGGGCAUGCCUGUUCGAGCGUCAUUACACCACUCAAGCUAUGCUUGGUAUUGGGCGUCGUCCUUAGUUGGGCGCGCCUUAAAGACCUCGGCGAGGCCACUCCGGCUUUAGGCGUAGUAGAAUUUAUUCGAACGUCUGUCAAAGGAGAGGAACUCUGCCGACUGAAACCUUUAUUUUUCUAGGUUGACCUCGGAUCAGGUAGGGAUACCCGCUGAACUUAAGCAUAUCAAUAAGCGGAGGA
rnacentral:misc_RNA from 1 species